rnacentral:ncRNA from 1 species
AAAAUGUUUAAAAAUCAUUAAAAAUGGACAGUGGCCAUGGAAGUAGAAAUCUGCUAAGGAGUGUGUAACAACUCACCUGCCGAAUCAACUAGCCCUGAAAAUGGAUGGCGCUGGA